UACGGAGGGGGCUAGCGUUGUUCGGAAUUACUGGGCGUAAAGCGCACGUAGGCGGCUUUGUAAGUUAGAGGUGAAAGCCCAGGGCUUAACCCUGGAAUUGCCUUUAAGACUGCAUCGCUAGAAUCGUGGAGAGGUAAGUGGAAUUCCGAGUGUAGAGGUGAAAUUCGUAGAUAUUCGGAAGAACACCAGUGGCGAAGGCGACUUACUGGACACGUAUUGACGCGUGAGG
rnacentral:rRNA from 1 species